rnacentral:rRNA from 1 species
CUCUGGGCUGUAAACCUCUUUUCUCAAGGAAGAAGAUCUGACGGUACUUGAGGAAUAAGCCACGGCUAAUUCCGUGCCAGCAGCCGCGGUAAUACGGGAGUGGCAAGCGUUAUCCGGAAUUAUUGGGCGUAAAGCGUCCGCAGGCGGCCUUGUAAGUCUGUCGUUAAAGCGUGGAGCUUAACUCCAUUUCAGCGGUGGAAACUACAAGGCUUGAGUGUGGUAGGGGCAGAGGGAAUUCCCGGUGUAGCGGUGAAAUGCGUAGAUAUCGGGAAGAACACCAGUGGCGAAGGCGCUCUGCUGGGCCAUAACUGACGCUCAUGGACGAAAGCCAGGGGAGCGAAAGGGAUUA